GAUGAAGAACGCAGCGAAAUGCGAUACGUAAUGUGAAUUGCAGAAUUCAGUGAAUCAUCGAAUCUUCGAACGCAUAUUGCGCUCUCUGGUAUUCCGGAGAGCAUGCUUGUUUGAGUAUCAGUAAACACCUCAACUUCCAUAUCUUUUUUGAAAUGGGAGUUGGACUUGAGUGAUCCCAACGCUUUUCCUCACCGAAAAGUGGCGGGUUACUUGAAAUGCAGGUGCAGCUGGACUUUUCUCUGAGCUAUAAGCAUAUCUAUUUAGUCUGCCUAAAAAACAGAUUAUUACCUUUGCUGCAGCUAACAUAAAGGAGAUUAGUUCUUGUGCUGACUGAUGCAGGAUUCACAAAGACAGGCUUCGGCCGACUUUGUAAACUCGAUCUCAAAUCAAGUAAGACUACCCGCUGAACUUAAGCAUAUCAAUAAGCGGAGGA
rnacentral:misc_RNA from 1 species